AUUUAUAUAGUUUAAUAAAAAACAUUACAUUUUCAAUGUAAAAUUAGAUCCUUUCUUAUAAAUA
rnacentral:tRNA from 1 species